GACGAACGCUGGCGGCGUGCUUAACACAUGCAAGUCGAACGGAAAGGCCCCCACUUUUUUGGUGGGGGUGCUCGAGUGGCGAACGGGUGAGUAACACGUGGGUGAUCUGCCCUGCACUUCGGGAUAAGCUUGGGAAACUGGGUCUAAUACCGGAUAGGACCAUGGUUUGGUGUCUCAUGGUGGAAAAAUGUUUUUUUGGUGUAGGUUGAGCCCGCGGCCUAUCAGCUUGUUGGUGGGGUAAUGGCCUACCAAGGCGUCGACGGGUAGCCGGCCUGAGAGGGUGGACGGCCACAUUGGGACUGAGAUACGGCCCAGACUCCUACGGGAGGCAGCAGUGGGGAAUAUUGCACAAUGGGCGCAAGCCUGAUGCAGCGACGCCGCGUGGGGGAUGACGGCCUUCGGGUUGUAAACUCCUUUCGUUAGGGACGAAGCCGCACCUGUUUUGGGUGUGGUGACGGUACCUUUGUUAAGAAGCACCGGCUAACUACGUGCCAGCAGCCGCGGUAAUACGUAGGGUGCGAGCGUUGUCCGGAAUUACUGGGCGUAAAGAGCUCGUAGGUGGUUUGUUGCGUCGUCUGUGAAAUUCCGGGGCUUAACUUCGGGGUGGCAGGCGAUACGGGCAUAACUAGAGUGCUGUAGGGGAGACUGGAAUUCCUGGUGUAGCGGUGGAAUGCGCAGAUAUCAGGAGGAACACCGAUGGCGAAGGCAGGUCUCUGGGCAGUAACUGACGCUGAGGAGCGAAAGCAUGGGGAGCGAACAGGAUUAGAUACCCUGGUAGUCCAUGCUGUAAACGGUGGGCGUUAGGUGUGGGGACCGGUUUUGGUUUCUGUGCCGUAGCUAACGCAUUAAGCGCCCCGCCUGGGGAGUACGGCCGCAAGGCUAAAACUCAAAGGAAUUGACGGGGGCCCGCACAAGCGGCGGAGCAUGUGGAUUAAUUCGAUGCAACGCGAAGAACCUUACCUGGGUUUGACAUGCACCAGACGGUUGUAGAGAUACGUACCUCCCUUUGUGGUUGGUGUGCAGGUGGUGCAUGGUUGUCGUCAGCUCGUGUCGUGAGAUGUUGGGUUAAGUCCCGCAACGAGCGCAACCCUUGUCUUAUGUUGCCAGCACGUUUGGGUGGGGACUCAUGAGAGACUGCCGGGGUUAACUCGGAGGAAGGUGGGGAUGACGUCAAAUCAUCAUGCCCUUUAUGCCCAGGGCUUCACACAUGCUACAAUGGUUAGUACAACGCGCGGCAAGCCUGUGAGGGUGAGCGAAUCGCUGAAAGCUAAUCUCAGUUCGGAUUGGGGUCUGCAACUCGACCCCAUGAAGUCGGAGUCGCUAGUAAUCGCAGAUCAGCAAUGCUGCGGUGAAUACGUUCCCGGGCCU
rnacentral:rRNA from 1 species